rnacentral:rRNA from 1 species
UACGUAGGGGGGCAAGCGUUGUCCGGAUUUAUUGGGCGUAAAGAGCGUGUAGGCGGCCAAGCAGGUCCGCUGUGAAAACUCGAGGCUCAACCUCGAGAGGUCGGUGGAAACCGUUUGGCUAGAGUCCGGAAGAGGAGAGUGGAAUUCCCGGUGUAGCGGUGAAAUGCGCAGAUAUCGGGAAGAACACCCGUGGCGAAGGCGGCUCUCUGGGACGGUACUGACGCUGAGACGCGAAAGCGUGGGGGAGCGAACAGG